AGAUUGAACGCUGGCGGCAUGCCUAACACAUGCAAGUCGAACGGGAGUAGCAAUACUCUAGUGGCGGACGGGUGAGGAAUACGUAGGAAUUUGCCCUUAAGUGGGGGAUAACCCGGGGAAACCCGGAUUAAUACCGCAUGACCUCGAAAGAGCAAAGUGGGGGAUCGCAAGACCUCACGCUUUUGGAGAAGCCUACGUCGGAUUAGCUAGUUGGUGAGGUAAUGGCUCACCAAGGCGACGAUCCGUAACUGGUCUGAGAGGAUGAUCAGUCACACCGGAACUGAGACACGGUCCGGACUCCGUACGGGAGGCAGCAGUGGGGAAUAUUGGACAAGUGGGCGCAAGCCUGAUCCAGCAAUGCCGCGUGUGUGAAGAGGCUUCGGUUGUAAGCACUUAAGUUGGAAGAAAAAACUCGACUACGUAACACAGUGAUC
rnacentral:rRNA from 1 species